GAGCAAAGAAACAAGAGCGUCGGAGAAGAGGAGGGAAGGAAGGAAAAGUUCUACUAGCUUCACCUAUGAGUAGAUUAGGAGGGGGUGGUGAAAACAACGCCCACAUGAGCAGCUCCCGUCCUCUCUCUCUCUCUCUCUCUCGCCUCUUGGAAACCAGCUGAGGGUGAGAAACUCGGCAACCACCAAACUAGCAGCAGCAGCGGCGCCAGGAAGCGCCUCCCCGCAACCUGCUUCUAGAAACGGGCGCGCAGGAGGGUGGAAGAGGAGCGGCCUUUGACGUUGCAGGCCUCAAAAAGAGCCACUUCCUCCCCUUCUCCGGCUGCCCUUCAGUGACAGCCGGGAAUGGAGGAAGCCGUGAGGGGACGGAAGCGGGAAGGAAGGACGGAAGGAAAGACCUGGGGUGGCUGCAGCCGAGGAGGCGGCCAUUUGGGAGCGGGAAGGGGUUGGGGAUGUGGCUGGGAGCGGGCGGCUUUCGUCGGCUUUUACCUGCUGCCGUUGGUGCAGGGGCGCUGGAGAAAGCGGCUCUGCCUGCCUGCCUCCUCCCCUCCUUGCCCGCGUCCCUCCCUCUCUCCCUCAAAAGCCUUCCCCCCACGGCCCGCCAGGCUGAGGGAAAAGAGGAAGGAGGCCCAGCAACCACCUUCCUCGAAGCCUUGCGCCGGUAGCCGAGUUCAACCGCCGCCCCCUCGCCUCUUGCACGCAGGCGCCCGCCUUCGCUGAGGGGAAGCGGAGGCCGCCCACACCGCGCGGCGACGGCGCGCUGGCCUAGAUCCGGCGGCUGCUCGGAGCGGGGCACUUUCGGGACGCCUGUCGGUCUGAGGGGCCCGGGGACUCGGGCGAGGGACAGGCCGGGAGCGGAGGGAGACGCGGAGAAGGUUGGGGCUGUGGGCUUGUCGGCGCGUGUGAGGCGUUUGGGAGGAGAGCGGAGUCCGCGGCUUCCUCGCCGCGAGCCGGGAAACGGUCAGCUCAGCGCCUUAGACUAACCUUCCAGUUGGAUAAAACGUAAAAGGAAAGCCAGGGGCAGCUCUCCGUUGACUUGGAGGCCCACUGAGUCGAAGGGGACUUGCCGCCUGGUUACUGUGGAAGACGGUGCUGAGGAGACGAGCGUGUUUCCUUUAUUGCCUUUGCCCUCGCCUCGCUUUCCACACACACACCCCGGAAAUAAAAAAAGCAACUCCCCCACCCCAGAAAACCCCCCACCUCAAUUACAUUCCUGCUCUUGCAGGCUACUUUUUCUGAAACUUGCUUUAAAUUGUUGUUGCUUUUUUUGUUCGUUUGCUUAAAGGUGAAGUGGCAGGAAGAUUGUAAAGCUGGACUAAAAUGCGGACUGAGCAUCCGUCUCCCAGGGGUGCCGACUUGAAUAAAAUAUUGUGGGGGCCCAGGUAAGCCCCACCCUUCAUAAUCGAUCAUGUUUGAAUGGGAAUGGCCAUCAACUUUGUGGGGGAUUGGCCCCCUCAAAUAAUUUAUUGUGGGGGCCAAAAACCCCAGCGCCCCUAGAAGUUCUAUGCCAUCUCCUUGCAUUUUGAAGCAGUGGUUUCAGUGGGUAUACUUGAGCAUGACAUAAGUUGGAUGCAACCCUGUGGUCCUAAUGUUGGUAUAUUCUGCUUCCUUUCCACCAGCUCUUAUUUAUGACAGUUUAAUUCAGUGGUUCUCUCCCCCCCCCCCCCAUACUUCCAGAAUAAAAAAUUGCUCGCACCACACCAAAAGUUUAAUUGAUAUAGAAUGCAUUGGGAAACACAACUAGGAUUGUCCUCAGUAUCACUUCAAGGUCUUUGCUCUCAUUUUGGAAAGCUAUCCAUAUUCUGCAAAUAAAAUAUUUUGAUACUAUACUACACAACAUUGAAAUAUUCAAAUGUUUCAUUGAUUGGCCUUCAUUCUUCCCACUACAUCCUCUCCUGCCACACUAGUGUGGUAGUCCACACUCUUCAAAAACCACUGCUUUAAUGAGACCAUAGGUAAAAGGUAAAGGUACCCCUUACCAUUAGGUCCAGUUGCGGAUUACUCUGGGGUUGCAGCGCUCAUCUCACUUAACUGGCCAAGGGAGCCGGUGUUUGUCCACAGACAGCUUCCGGGUCAUGUGGCCAGCAUGACUAAGCCGCUUCUGGUGAACCAGAGCAGCGCACAGAAAUGCCAUUUACCUUCCUGCCAGAGCAGUACCUAUUUAUCUACUUGCACUUUGACAUGCUUUCGAACUGCUAGGUGGGCAGGAGCUGGGACUGAACAACGGGAGCUCACCCCAUUGCGGGGAUUCAAACCACCAACCUUCUGAUCGGCAAGCUCUAGGCUCAGGUUUAGACCACAGUGCCGUCCACACAUACCCUUUUACCAUGUUUAAUUAGGCUGCCUGCUCGUUGAUAUUAAACAUCAGGCAAAGUAAUAAGGUAGCAUUCUGCUCGUGAUCAGCUUCAUUUUUUGAGGGAAGACUCAAUACACUUAUUAGCGAAAAGCAGGGCUUUUUUUUCAGCCAGAGCUCAACUCUGGCACCUUUCAGGUGGGCGCCAUUGCCACUCUAAGAGAACAAGGGAGAAGUUCCUGGUAAACUCCUGCACCUCUUUUCCUGUAAAAAUAACACUGGCGAGAAGACACUGCUGAUUUUAAAAAGCCUGCAUCUCUUGAAGCGGAUCAGGUGCAAAGUCCUGUGUGUAAUUUAUAAACUUUUCUCUCUGCUUCCUGUAUGGGCGAUAUUCUAUCUUUUGAAAGGAGGCUGGACUUUGGUGGACAAUAUUGUUUACAGAACCAUUUGCAAAACAUGGCAUUCACUUCAAAAAGCAGUAGUUUCCUACUGUCCAUUUUUACUUACACUGAUCUUCAGCAUAGUAAAGGAUUUUGUUAGAAAGAAUUAUUAUCUCUUCUCUGAUCAGCCUACCACUGUUUCUGAUCAAGACUGCUGACUGGUGUUUUACAGCAGCAGGUUUAAACAUCCUGUUCUAAUAUAAGCACAGUAAAGUUAGGCUUAUUUCUGGUAACAACAAUUUAAAGUUGUUACCAACUGCUGAAUAUGCACAAGAUUUCCUCCAUAUUGGGACAUUUUAAUUUUAGCCUGCUUCCUGAAAGAAUAAGCCAGCCUUUCAUUUGCAGAUUCCACGGUAUAUCAUUUAGUACAAUAUUGGACAGCUGGAAUGUUCUUGGUGAUAAUUGUAGAAAAUAUUAAUUCUGUGGAACCUAGUUCAACGUUUGGCCUUAAAAUCAUAUUGAUUAAAUUAACUAGUGCAUAGGUAUCCUGCUGGCAUGUGUACUAAAGGCAGAGGCGACCUUAUCACUAAGGCAAGGUGAGGUAACUGCAGGUGCCAAUUGUUCCUCUUGACUCUCCCAACCAUUUUCAUUUGUUAGUAGUAUGUCCUGCCUAACCAGCCUACUGCUUCAUUUAUAGUUGACUCGUAUUUUGUUAAAGAAUGAACUUAUGAAUGUGACCUUAUCAAUGGAGUCCAAACCUUAGGAUCCAGCAGUAUUCUCAGUGGGUGUGGUCCAAAAUACUUACAGAUAAAAGAUCUUCAGAUAAGAGCUGAACUCGGAAAGACCCACAACAGGGCUGUUUUGCUUUCUUUUUCCAACAGUAGCUUCCCCAUGCUGUUUUGCCUAUCACUACAACAUACCCACAUUUCAACACGUUGGCAGGGGCAUCACUAUCCUAAUGCAAACAUAAAGCAGUAUCUUGUGCUGCUUUCAGUCGUGGAACCAGUCACAAUGUAAUAAAUGAGCUGUGUGUUUUGCCAACUUCAGUUGGAACUUGGCUGGGCUGCCUGCCUUUUUCUUACCUGGGAACUAUGAAUGUGUCUACCUAUGUGAGGUAGUGCUCAAAUGGCAUUCCCUUUCCCAACAAGAAAAACUAUGUCUUUAGUUUUAGUGGGUAUAUUGGGGUAGUGUUGUUCACUUUUAGUAUGACGUUAACCAGAAGCAAGCAUUGGAAAUUGAAGCUUUUAAUUUUAACUUUCUUGAUUGCAUCUGUAGUCCCUCUUCAAAAUAUUAGUGACAAAAUAAUGGAAAGUAUACCCCUCUUUACCAAAGCUUACUUUUCCCUCCUUCUAGCCUUAACUGCAUAGGAGCGACAGAGGUUUAAUUUGCAGUUGGUAGCUGCAUUCCCCCAAGGACACAAUCAGUGAAUGAUACUAAUUGAAAAUGAGCCAUAAAAAUAGAACAACAAGGCUGACCUUAUGUAUACUAAGUUCAGAUUUUGCAGUCAGGCUAGUGAUCCUGAAGACAUACUGAAAAGGAAUUAUUUUGUCAACAAGAUAGGUAGUAAACACAUUGCUGUGGGCAGAAUUUAUCUAGGAUUCCGGAGGCAGCUUGGAAUUGCCAUACUGUUUGUCACCCAUUGUCAUUUUAAAAGAAUCUGCGCCACAAAUGGCUGACUUUGGCGCUACAUGGUUUCACUGGCUACCUCCUGUUUAUAAAGAUUUACAGGGUCACUGCAAUGUUAAGUGCAGAUUUUGCUACUGGUGAACUUUACUGUGUGAAGUAUUCAGGGCCUAUUCAUAUUUUAAAUUAACUUUACAAUAAUUGUUACCUUGAUGUAUUGAGCAUUUCCUGAAGAACAUUUUAGGAUUCCAGAAGAACACAUACCAAUGCCCUAAUAUAAACAUAUUAAUUGGUAUGGGAUUGCUCCGCUUAAAUAGGCUAUAAGCGACAAUAUUUCAUUAUGUUUCUUACUCAUGAAAAUAAGGUCUCUGUUGUGACUGCAGUUACACUUCCACUGCCUGCCACCAUAACCUGGUAACAGUAGCAGCAAAAUAUUUUUGUUCGGGGCUUUACAUUAUGUGGAAUAUUAUACAACUAUAAUAAGUUUGUUUUUAUUUUUAGACAACCAUUUCACUUUAAAAUAUUGUAAAGAUUUAACUGAAUUGUUAUUACAGUUUAGGUGUACAGCACGUGGGAAACACAGAACAUAAACCCAAAGGCUGCGUCACAUGUGAAAUCUGCGUGAACAGUUAAUCUUUGAUUUCAGUAAGAACUAUGCAACUCAAGGUUUCUUGCAUUCUAGUGGACUACAUUAAUGUGAAUGCUACAUGUGGAUUAAAACUGCUAUGUCAAGAACAAUAACUUCACCCAAUAACCACAGAAGCCACAAGUAAUCUGAUGCAGAUAUAUGGUCAACCAUAGGAAGACAUACAUUUUAAGCACUACAUGUUAAAUUUUAGUUACUGACACCACUUGGACCCUAGCUUUCCUCCAAGGAGUUCCAAGGCAGCAUAUGGAGUUCUCUCUCGCUUUUAUCCUCACAACCACUCAGGCAGGAUAGGCUGACAGGGUUGUUGUGAUGAUAAAUGGGAGUAGUGGAGAAAAACUUGCUUAGCACCUUGAUAUAUUUGGAGGAAAUGCUGCAAUCCUAAGAAUACAUCAUAGGGCAUAACUUUCUUUGAAAUCAAUGGGACUUAAUUCUGAUUAAAUUGGAUUUUUAGUGAGUUCUGACUCAGGAUUUGAACCUAUGCCUCCCUGGCCCGGGGUCUAACACUAUAACCCAGGGAGGGGAAAAUGUGGACUCCCAGAUGUCACUGGACUUCUGUGGCCAUUGCUGAUAUUGCUGGCUGGGGGAUGCUGUGAAUUUUAGUCCAACGCUGCACCACACAUAACAUGAAAUUAUCCUGCCUACCAUAUUUGAAACCAACUAAUCCACUCCCUUGAGUCAAAUUGGCUGCUGACACUUUGUUUUCUUUGUUUAACCUUCAUUUUUAGUGUAGAGCCACACAUGGUAUUAGCACCUACAAUGUGUGUGUGGUCAUACCAUCAGCCUACCUCCACUGUCAGGUGGACAGAGUGUUUGUGAGCUUCCCAUAGACAUCUGAGAGAACAGAAUGGAUCAUUGGCUCUCCUCAUGUUCUGAUAUGCCAGCCUUCCCCAGCUUGGUGUCCUCCCAAUGUUUUGGACCACAACUCUCAACACUCAUGAACUCUAGCCAUGAUGGCUGGACUAAUAGGAGUUGGAGUCCAAACAUCUGGAGGACACUAGAUCAGGAAAAGCUGACAUAGGCUUGUUUCUUCAUUCUAACUGUCAGGUGUAUUAGAUCAUGCUGGAUAAGUUGUUGAAAGGAGUCAAUGAUGGAAGGAGCCAGGAAUUAAUGACAUGCAAGCUCUACAAUUUGUGUCAGCAUUUAUUGUAAAUUACAUGCUGAUCAAUAAACAUAUUUUUUAAAUUUAACUACAUAAUUGCUACUUGGUUGGUUUUGCCAAAUAAAAGAAAAUUUCCAUUAAAGUUUUACCAUAAAUUUUGCGUUAUAUAAAAUAUUUGCUGUAUGUAUUCAAGGCUGUUAUCUAGUGACAGAAAGAGACAAUGCCUCAGGAAACAUCUAAUCAGCACUGCUGUUCUUGGCUCUGCUGGUCAUUUACAUGUUCAGUUGUAAGAGUUCAGAAAUAGGAUUGUUAGACUCAUAUUUUAAUGUCAAUAAUAAUACGACCCUCUCAGAUUUGCUUCGGUGACUGCAGAGUAAAUUAAAUAUAUUAACACCAGCUGGUUGGAAAACUACUCCCGAGAGUUACCAUCAGUGGGUCAGAGGGAAAUUUUGAGUGGCACACUGCAAAGUUUGGUAUUCUUCAACAUUUGUAUCAAUAACUUAAAUCAGAGGUGGGAAAUUUCUAGUCUGCAGGCCAAUCUUAGCUCACAAGGCAAUAUCCUCCAAACCACAGCCACCUAGCCCAUUACUGGGGGAGGGGGGACGGCAGGGAAUGCAAUGAUGAAGCAGACUCCUGCAGCCAUCAAGAGCAAAUCCUUCACUCAUCAGCUUAAAGGGUUAAAUAAUUUCAAUUUCAUGCAGCGAGAGCAUGGUGUGUGGCUGUUUUAAAGAGCAGAGCCAAAGGGCUUUCAAACUCUGGUGGAGACAAAUAGCAUGAGCAUCCAUAGCAUGCACAGACCCCCUGACCACCAUCAGGUCCCAAGGGAGGGUCACCCAGCACUCCAUGAUGCCUUCAGCCUUUAACUAACUUUAUUUUUUCUAUCUGACUCAAACUACAGUCCCCAGCCCCACUCAGAUCUUAGAUCAAUUCUCAUUUGUUAACUUGGGGUAGAGAUUCAGUAAGGAAAGGCAGAAUCACAUUUUCCUAAUGACUCUUGCAUUCCAGGGAUUCCAGCAAGAGUCAGACCUUUAAAAUACCGCCUUCUAAGUUGUUUCCAAAGUUCCCCACUUCUCUUAGCAUAGAAAGAGACCACACUUGGUAAGUUAAAAAUGAUUUACUUACAAACUCUUCAAAGGUCAUAUUCAUGUGCUUUUCCAUACAGCAGCAAGGCUAGUCAGGCAGUUUAACUUAGGCUCCAAAAGUGGUAAAUAUUUCUAAAUUAUUUGUAUAGAAACACAAAUAUAGCCAUGUGGUCUAAGCUUGGAACACCCAUUUUAGACCUCCUCACUGGUAGGGUUCACAUGGUGGAAAAAGAGAACAAAAGAGUUUGUUAACCUUCCCAAAGUGAGGGUGUGUGACCUAGCUCAGCCUGGCAAGACAGCUUACUCUAUGGUCUUAACCCAUUCAUGCAUUAAUUGGAGUUAAGCAUGUUGGUUAUUUGGGGCUGAUUUAUCCCACAUUAAUAACAACAACAAUUUCAUGCUCCAUCCAUUUGAGUGGGUUGCCCUAGCAACUCUAGGUGGCGUCUAACAAUUAAAACAUUAAGCACAGUAAAACAUAAAACAUUAAAAGCUUCCCUAUACAGGGAUGUAAGAUGUCUUCUAAAAGUCAGAUAGUUGCUUAUUUCCUUUUCAACAAUGAAAUCAUUGGGAAAAGUCACGAAUGGGUUGGAUUUCAGUGACUCACAUUUGGUAUCUCUCUUGACUGGAGUCAGUAAUGGGCUGGAUAAAAGCCAAUAAACUGAAGCUUCAUCCAGAUAAUACAGAUAUGUUAAGUCUUAACAGUGAAGGGAUAAUGUCACUCAAGCAAGAAGUGAAUAUAUAGCUUCCUUCAAAUGAGAUUGCACACCCCUUCAAAAAAGCCAGCCAGGCCUGUGACUUGAGAGUACUUGUGAGCUUGGCUUUGCUACUUGACUUCUAAGUGGCAGCUGUGACCAGGAGUGCUUUCUGUUACAAUUGCAAUUGUACUUGCUCUGAGCAACAGAGACCUCACUACUCUAAUACAUACAUUGAAAGGCUCUAGACCAUGGGUGAGGUUUUUGGAAUUCCUAGCAGUUCCAGCCAACAUGGUCAAUGGUCAGGGAAGAUAGGAUUUGUAAUCCAGCAAUAUCUGUAGGGUUAUAAAUUCCCUAUCUCUGCCAUAGAUUAUAUUACUGUGUUUAUUUCUUUAUUCAUACAAUUUUUAAACUGAGCCUUGAUCCAAACAUAGAUUUUAGGGUGACGUACAUAAGAAUGCCAAAUAACAGUGCAACAUAUAAACAAACAAGAAAAUAAAAACAAUACAAGAAAAUCUGAGAAGUUAUGAACCAAAACUAUUCAACCAGUAUAAACAAUACAACAAAUCUGUAAAGCCUGAGCUAACAGAAAUCUCUUAACCUGGCUGUAAUGCAUUCUUCAGUGGCACUGCCUUGAAAUAUACUUGGGAAACUAUAGUUGGUCCAAAAUACUGUAGUUAGAUCCCUUCAAAUACAAGAGAGAGAGAGAUCCUAUUCUGGAAGAGCUGCAUUGGCUACGAUCUGUAUUUUGGGCUUUUGGGCUUUGAAACUGUAAAGCCCUUUGCAGUUGGGGCUCAGGUUACCUGAAGAAGUACCUCUUUCCAUACACAGGGAUUGCCAAUGUGGUGACCACCAGAUGUUCCUAACCAGAGCUGAUGGGAGUUGGGGUCCAACAACAUCUAGAAAGAACUACAUUGGCUACUGCUGCUUCAAGAGCUUAUGAAGAGACUCUGUUAGGUGUACCACCACAACACUGUAGCAAAGGUACAGAAAGAGGUAGUGGACUUCUGAGCUGCUUCAGUUGCCCAAAUUGCCCAAAUUUUGGAGCCAUCCGUCCAAAAUAAUCUUCCCCUUUUUAGGGAAAUUACAAGCAUGGCUCUUUUACAGAGGGCAUUGACUAAUUAAAGCUGGACGCAUAAUUGUUGUAUUCUCUUGUUAAACCGAUUGCUCUUGAGUGAUUUAACACUUUUAGCAUUGAUGUUGCAACUGUUUGUAUUUCCAGAAUGGUUUAUUGAUUUUAAUUAUUUUGUUGUAAACUGCAUCAAGAGCUCUGCUGGGAUGAGGUGUAAAAAUUGAAAAACAAAUAAGCAUAAAAUAGACUGUGUUUGUAGCUGCUCCAAUUCCCAAGAGGAUCAGCAGCACUUACAUGUGCACUUAGACAUAUACAUAUGUAAAUGUCCCUAUUAAUUCCUAAAUGUGUCAUUUUCUUUGGAAAUGGUACAAAGCGGUCCUCAGAUCAUCAGUAAAACUGCUGCUUACUAACUCCAUCUAGUACUUCCUACUGGAACCUAUGAACUACCAUUCAUACCUUUGUGAUUGUGAGACUCGUAUAUUAUACUGUAGUUAGUCCACUAGCUACAUUGGUUCAUCUAGCUCAGUAUUGUAGACACCAACCUUUUGUAACCUGGUGCCUUCACAUUUUUGUAUUUUCUACAACUCCCAUCAGCAUGGCCAACGUUCAAGGAUUACAGGAGGUGUGGUCCAAUACGUAUGCAGGGCACAACACGCAGGGAGGCUAGUUUACACUGACUGGCAACAGUCUCUCCUAGUUCUUUCUGGAGAUGCAAAGGAUUGUACACGGGGCAUUUUGCAUGCAUUGACCUCUGGUCUUUCCUCAAAGAUAUUUAAAGGCAUAUUUUUAAAUAUUAUAUAUAUAAUAUGUAUCCACUCUGAGACUCAGGUAAAAGUAAUUAAUUGCAUUUUAAGAAUGCAUGAAAGCCCUGGUUAUAGUUCCUCUGUUAUGCCGUGCACAACUAAAUCAAAGUUGUUUUAAAAAUCCAGUUCCAAAAUUAUAACAAGAUAUGCAUUGAUGGGCUCAAACCCACACAAAGUUUCAGUGAUGUCAGUGAGUUUAACAAGUUGCAGGAGGUCCUCGAUCAGGAAGAGACAUAAUAGGUAAAUUUAGGGUAUGAGGGUGAAGGAAGAUAAGAGUGACAGUAUUAGGAACACAAGUUUGCAUAUAUUAAAUAAGCAUACCAUCUGGAGGCUUUAUAUAGUAUUUUUGGCUUUAAUGUGAUUGAUCUGGCCUUUACAUUUUUAAUAUAUCUUUCAGAUAAACAGGAAUAAAUUUAGGCUCCUUUUACUAAGUGACUACUGAGGUUUUUCUACCCCUAGUGAGUGGAAUUAGAGGAACCAGACGCCAGAACUGUGGCUUCUAGUUCAGUUAUGGAAUCCUAUCACAAUCCUGAACCCUUGGAUCUACCUGCCUGAAAUUUGUUGGGGUUAAUCCCCUCUCAGAGGGCUGCUAUGUCUGCAAUUUUCAUGCACCCAUGAAAAAAACAUCAACAAAGAGUUGUGGAAAUUUUGGUUUUCCAAUAUAAGUCAAUGGGAUAGCUGAAACUUCAGUUUUCCAGAUAUUGCUUGGGCUUUGGGGUCUGAGGCAGCCCCCAACCCAGCUAUCUGAAUCAAAUAGGGGCCCAAUCUGAAGUUCUGAACUGGGCUAUGAAGCGAAGCUGAGGGGUGAGCACACAGCCCUAAAAUGUCGUCUUUUGUUUGCUUUGUGUUUAAAUCCCCUCCUCGGUGAAGCCAGCAAAUCUUGGAUAGGGCUCUAAAAUCAUCUAAAACUACUGGGCAUAUUUUAAAAAAGACUUUUAGCAAACUGGCCCGACCAUCAGGCCAAAUGAGGCAAGUGUCUCAGGUAGCAGAUGCUGCAGGGCAACCUAUCAUCAGAGUCCUCUCAGCUAGGCUGCUGCCCUCAGGUAAAGUGGAUCAUAUUGUCUCACCACUAGUUGAUGUAAGUUUCAAUUGCUAUUCAAGUUGGAUUCCAUACGUGGAAUGAUGUUUGAGAGAGACUGAGUGAGUGACCUUGUUCUUUGUCUCAGACAACAAAAUGUCAUGGUGAGGUCCUGCUUUAAAGGUAAAGGUAAAGGGACCCCUGACCAUUAGGUCCAGUCGCAGACGACUCUGGGGUUGCGGUGCUCAACUUGCUUUAUUAGCCGAGGAAGCUGGCGUACAGCUUCCGGAUCAUGUGGCCAGCAUGACUAAGCCGCCUCUGGCGAACCAGAGCAGCACAUGGAAACGUUGUUUACCUUUCCGCCGGAGUGGUACCUAUUUAUCUACUUGCACUUUGAUGUGUUUUCGAACUGCUAAGUUGGCAGGAGCAGGGACCGAGCAACAGGAGCUCAUCCCAUCGCGGGGAUUUGAACUGCCGACCUUCUGAUCGGCAAGCCCUAGGCUCUGUGGUUUAAGCCACAGAGCCACCCGUGUCCCAGGCCCUGCUUUACUGGGCAUUAAAAAGGAUUGACAUGUGAAAAACAUCCAAGAGAGGGCAUUCCAGAGCCCAAGGUGCCACCACUGAGAAGGCCCUAUCUCUGGGUAUCACCUACCUCACUUCCAGAGAUAAUGGUACUUAAAGAAGGGCCUUAAGAGAAGAAACAAUGGCAUUUGGGAGAAGGUGGUGAUUUCAGUGGGGCCUAUGCCUAAGAAGCUGCUUGAGGCCACAUAAAUUAGAGAUGAGAGGAAUCUCUUCCCUCACUUCCAUUUUAUAUUUUUCAUCUAGUCCAUUCUGCUCUGCAUUCAAUUCCUCCUGAAUUCUCACCUUAAGUAGGGGAAUUUCUAAAUUAAUUCAAAAACUGGAGCUUUCAGUUCCAUCAGGUUACCUCUAUCUUUCCUUCACUCUGCACUACGAAUGCACACAUGUGCAUGAUAAAAUGCUGCAAUUUUUGUGUGGCUAUGAGGCUAGAUUCUCUUUGUGCAGAAUCCUGCACAUUUGAUUAAAAUCCCACCAUAUGUACAAUGACAUAAAACCUGCUUUUCAUGUGGGUCGUUCUUUAUCAGCGCACAAAACUUGAGGUGUGCAUCAUUUAAAGAAACCUGGUGAUUGCUUUGUGCAAGUGUUUUCUUCACUUGACGGGUGUGGGAGGGAGACAUGAAACAAUGGAAAGUUAUGCAAACUGCUCAUACAUAGUGUUCUGUACCAAAUUCGUUAAAAAUUGAGAAUUCCUUAAUGUAUAGAUUCCACUUCAGAAGCAAGAUUUGGUAUUUUAGAACGCCAAAGUCCAGGGAGAGGAAGGAUAAGAGGAGGAGGAAUUUGGAAUCAUUCCUGUUCUUAAUGUUUGACUGCUGGGCCCCCAAACCUUCCGUAACCCCCGUGUUGGAUUUAUACAGGCUAACCGUACCCUUUGGAGCCAUUGCUUAUCUCGUCCUCAUUGUUCAUUAUCACCACUCAUUUUGUAUAAAUUGUUGUUAUGUUGACAUUCUUCUUCCCCUUUUAUUAAGGCUGUUAACCAUUUACCAGUUUUAUUUGAAUUAUCAUAGAAAAAUUUAUUUGUUCCAUAAAAAUAAUUGGCUCCUUUAACAGCAAUAUUAUUCAAUAGCACCUUAAUGUAUAAUGCUUCUGCAUAAGCUUUUUACUGUGGAAUUUUGAUGUUCUAAUUUUUUUAUUGUUAGCUUUCUUAAUAGCUCCGGUUUUUCUUGCCCAAGGCAUUUCCUAAAAACCCAGCUUCUGAAAGUCACUAUAAAAGCUCCCAAUACAUUAUGGUAUGAUACAAAGCCGAAAUUAAAAUUUAUAUGCUUCUUGGGUUUUAUUUUAAUGGCUAUUAGAAAUUCUUUAUCCUUAAGUAAUAGAGCAUUGAAUCUCCACUACAAGCCCCUCUUAUUUCCUCCUCAUCGUAUUAUCUCUAUUAUUCCUUUAGUAUAUGAGCAAAUAAAAAUCUCCCAGCAUUUUAACUUGUGUGUGGAAGGAGCAUUUUUAUCAGUUUUGGUGCAACGUAUAUCACACAAACACAUGUAGAAUGGGGGGGACGGGACCUGUUGUGGUAGCAAUCUAAAUGUGUCUGUGACAAUUGCCUCACAAAUUCUUGGCUGUACAUCAGUGUGCAUGUAUGUGGUGAGUUUUCACUCUUCAGAGAAUUGGCCACUGGUGAAUACCGUUGAUAUAGAUAGCCAGAUGGCCCCAACUCUACAGUGAGUUGUUCUAAGCGAUACAACUGAAGGAUAUGAAAUUCACUACAAAAAUAGCCAAUUCCUGUGACUAUCCACAUUGGCUCACAGCUACUGAGGAUGUAUGAUUAGUGCCUACAUAUAUCAUGCAACAAAAUAAGAUGUUUUCUGCUACAUCUCCUUAAUACAGCUGUUCCUGUUAUAACCAAACUCAUGCCUCCAAUGCAUUAAUUAUAUUUUUGCAAUUUAGGCCUAUUAAUCAUUAUCCACCCCCAAAAAAUUCAACCCAUCAUUUUGGCUGCUAAUAUAUUUCCAUUUUGUUAGCCUGUCUUGUGUCAUAGGGGCCAAUAAUAAAUUCCGUUUGAAAGAAUAUUGAAGUGAGAGUAUCUUAAGUGAUAUUUUUUCCUAGUCAGUAUCAUUCUUGCUUUCUUCUAGUUUUAUUUAAACUGAUGCUGCUGCUGUUGAGUGAAGGGUAUAGUGCUUUAAUAUGCUUUCAAGAUCUAUUUCCAAGGAUGAUGAGUGCUCCUAUGAUAUUAUGCUUAUAAUAUAUCUCUGUCUGGGCAGAAGGAUUCUUGCAACAACAAUACCCUUAGGUUUUCAAUAUGUUCUCUGUUUUGCAACAGUCAUUAAGAAAUCACUAGACAUAACCAGACACUGGAUGCAAUAGUUUUAGACUUUAAAAAUGGCUAACAUUCCUCUAUGCCUUAUUCUGGCUAUGACAGCUGGAGAAUCCUGUGACCUUUAUAUAACAUGAGUUUGGGCAGUAGGCUGUAUACCAAGACCCUUCUAAUCCCUGGAUCCAGCAAGUGUUAAAAUAUAAACUAGGCUAGCUUUCUGAUGAGGUGAUCGCCUGGGUGAUGGUCCAUUAAGGGGAACAAAGGAAAGGGGCUCUGUGUAAGAUGGCAAAUGGUUAGUUAGAAGGGAAAAGCCAACAUUUAGCAUUAAAAGUUGUACUGAUGUGACCUAGAAGGAAAAGCAGCAAGCUGGAAAGGGCAACAUUUAAUUUCUGUUUGAAUCCAAACAGCUUGGGAGAAACAAGACCCUUUUGGGGUGUUAAUAAUAAUAAUAAUAAUAAUAAUAAUAAUUAAUAAUAAUAAUUUAUUAUUUAUACCGCGCCCAUCUGGCUGAGUUUCCCCAGCCACUCUGGGCGGCUCCCAAUCAAGUGUUAAAAACAGUACAGCGUUAAAUAUUAAAAACUUCCCUGAACAGGGCUGCCUUAAGAUGCCUUAAUGGUGUGAAUCCCUCCAUCAUAGGCUCAGGUUGUAUAUAUGUGUAAAUAAACCAUAUAUAAUUAUAUAAAAAAAAAUACCACAGUCUCUGCUGUGCCUCCUUCCAAAAGGAAACACAAACCAUGUGUAAGUGCCUGGAACCCCUGCAAAUUCACACUGUUUGGACACUGGGCUGGUGUGCAACACUACAAAACCUGAAAGUCUUUCUCAAGAGGCAGGAGAAGCAACAAAGAGCUCUGUGCCGCACUUCAAAGGCUUCAGCUGACAGUUGGGGCUUCACAAUGCUGUGUACUACACAAGGUGAAAAUGUGUCACCUGGUGUCAGUGUAACAUCAGGUGAUUGACAGGCAGGCACCCCACUCCACCUGUCAAACGUGACCUGUGGGGGUAGGGAGAGAUCAGUUCCCCACCCCUGAUGUAAAAGAGUAGAUUUCUGGAGCAUAAGGUAAAGGUAAAGGGACCCCUGACCAUUAGGUCUAGUCGUGACCGACUCUGGGGUUGUGACGCUCAUCUCGCUUUAUUGGCCGAGGGAGCCGGCGUACGGCUUCCGGGUCAUGUGGCCAGCAUGACAAAGCCACUUCUGGAGAACCAGAGCAGUGCACGGAAAUGCCGUUUACCUUCCCACUAGAGUGGUACCUAUUUAUCUACUUUUACUCUGACGUGCUUUCGAACUGCUAGGUUGGCAGGAGCUGGGACAGAGCAAUGGGAGCUCACCCCAUUGCGGGGAUUCGAACCGACAACCUUCUGAUCGGCAAGCCCUAGGCUCUGUGGUUUAACCCACAGCGCCACCCACGUCCCCCUUCUGGAGCAUACCUUAUGUCAAAUUGCAACGAACCCUAUGUUAAAGGAGCCACAACACUGAAAGUCCAACACAAGUAGCACACUAGGAGUUCUCGGUAUUCUGGUGUGAUGUGGUGUAUACGCCAGAUACAACAUACCUUCUGAAUGAAUGCAUUGCAGUUUUCUAGUAUACAGCUCCGUUUCUUUUCCAGAGCUUUACACAUUGCUGCUGACACAGUCACAAAGGGGCGGGGGGAGUACGAAUUUAACACAGAGAAAUUCAAAUAGAAGAUAAAGCCAAGCUGGUUUCCUUAGCACUAAGAAAACAUAUAAUUUAAACAUUUGGCAAACAGAGGAUCAAAUUCAGAAGGAAACAGCUCUAUUCCCAGUCUUUCCAAUCUAUGUCUUAAUAAAUAUUCAAAUGUUUUCAAAAACUGCUGCAUGUUUUCAUGAUUAUUUUUUCAUUUUAUUUUUUCUGUGUUAAACAGAGAUGGUAUGUUUAUGUGCAUAUGCAUUAGACUGUGAUCCUAGCAUAGUAGCAAUGCCGCGUUUUGUGAUGUGGCGCUGAAAGAGUGGCUGAUGCACCUGAAGCUAAGCUCUGUUGAGUUAGUGCCAUGCAAAUCAGGGCCUAAUUAAAAUCAACAGGAUAAGAACAAAUAAUCUGCCAGUAAUUAAUUUGGAAUACCAGGGAAGAUUGUUUUAUGGUAUGUCUGUAAAUCGCCUUCAACAUAUGUAGAAGGUGAGUGAGUGAGUGAGUGAGAGAGAGAGAGAAAUAAUACUGGGAUGCAGACCUUAUAGUCAAACAUUUAUCCUUAAAAAAAAAAAAAAAAGCAUCCGCCUCCCAACCAUUCCUCUCCCCACCCACCCAUUUCAGGGCCUCCAAUGCCCUUGUUUCAGAGCCCCCCAACACCCCACCUCAAAAUAAGCUGAAAGGUCUGUUUAGUGUCAUUGGUUCCCCAUCUACUGCUUCUUUGCAUUUUCCACCCCCAUUACUAUUUCUCUUUCUAUCUUGGUUUACUUAGUCAAUAAGGUAUUUUACAAAAGAUGUGUGUUGAGCGGGGAGUUUGAUUGUGGUUGUACAGACUCACAGUACACGAGGAGAGAGUCUGAAAGGGGUUAGAGAGUGAGCAGAAUAGCAUCAUUGGCUAUGGAACAAAUGAAGCCGAGUAAUGGCAUUUCUUCAUGGAUUAAUGGGUAAAAGUGAUGCCAUAGCUAUGUUAUGUAGCCAAUAAGAUAUGAAUGUGGUGGCAUGAUUGGAGAAUAAAAAGAGAGCAUACUUGAGUUAAACUGGAAACCCUAACAGUAAUCUUGUUAUGACUCAAAGUCCAGAAUCCUAUCUUUACCAUUCCAACCAGUGGCGAAGCUGCAUGCUCUGGCACCGGGGGUGGACAGUGGGGGUGGACAGCAGGCUGGGGCGUGGCUGGCACAUGUCCCAGGGGGUAUGGCAUGCCACCCUGGGGGCGUGGCAUGUCACCUGCAGGGCUUGCGUCCCAGGGCGUGGCAUUCCGCCCACGGGGGGCGUGGCAUGCCGCCCACGGGCGUGACAUGCAUCCUGGCGACGUGCUGCGCUGCCCGCGGGAGCGUGGUGUGCGUCCUGGGGGCGUUGCAUGCUGCCUGCAGGGGCAUGCGCAGUGCAUGUCCAGGGGGGCCACCGUGAGGGUACCCCCCCUCCCCAAUGGUACCGGGGCGGUGCGCUCCCCCCGCCCCGUUCCUCCGCCAGUGAUUCCAACGACUGAAAGCCCUCUCAAAUUUGGAGGUUGCAGGAAUAGCUUGCCUGGUGGUGCAGAGCUGUAGCAACAGCCUCCCAGCAGGGGCAUUACUCGUGUUUACUGGGUGUGGCAAGGUGGCAGUGAGGUCUGGGCUGUGCAGAAUUGCCUCUGCCAGUGUGCCCAUGCAACUUCUCCUUUAGUACUGCGUGUACCUCCGAGUAAGUGGCAGUGAUGCUGUUGCCAGGAGGCUAUUGCUGUGGCUCUACCCCACCAGAUGAGUCACUUCUCGGAGGCUGAAAAAGGAACAGAGAAUUCCAAUAUAAUUUGCAAACUUCCCACCUAAACGAAUAACUGGAAUUAACUAGAUUUAUUUUUGUAUUAAAGUAAUAUAAAAAGGUGUAGUUAUUUUCAAGCAUACAAACAGAUCCCAGUGAACUAAACUUAUUCCCCUUAGUUCUGUUAUCUAGUUGUCUGGCUGUGGAAUACUGUUUGGCCCAGGUUUCUAGGGGAAAAAAAUCUUUACAAUUCUGUCGGCUCCAUCCCUUCCUUUUUCAGAGCCAUUGCCUUAGGGCCCAGUCUUGUCAUCAUUCAACACACAACUCUUUCACUGAAGUCUGGAUCAAGAAAAUUGUAAAUCACACUGCAUAAGAAGAUUCAGACAGUUUCAUUUGAAAGUGUUAAGAUGUAAGACUAUAAAAGACCAUAUAUAGAGCGUGCUUAUACCAUUCCAGCUGAGGCAAAAGUACCUUGAAAGCUAAUGAAAACUUACUAAUAUACACAAUCUGGAAAGAUGAUCAGAAAAACAAUGACUAAAGUAAUGCAGUAUCCCUAAGGAAUUUGAUAAAGUAAAUUUAAGCUGGAACGUGUGCAGAGAAUGAACACCAGGGUGAUAAAAGGUCUGGAAAAAUGAGGUGCAUCCAUAUAUAUAUAUAUAUAUAUAUAUAUAUAUAUAUAUGUGGGUGGCGCUGUGGGUUAAACCACAGAGCCUAGGGCUUGCCGAUCAGAAGGUCGGCGGUUUGAUUCCCUGUGAUGGGGUGAGCUCCCGUUGCUCGGUCCCUGCUCCUGCCAACCUAGCAGUUCGAAAGCACGUCAAAGUAAAAGUAGAUAAAUAGGUACUGCUCCGGCGGGAAGGUAAACGGCGUUUCCGUGCACUGCUCUGGUUCGCCAGAAGCGGCUUAGUCAUGCUGGCCACAUGACCCGGAAGCUGUAUGCCGGCUCCCUCGGCCAAUAAAGUGAGAUGAGUGCUGCAACCCCAGAGUCAGUCACCAUUGGACCUAAUGGUCAGGGGUCCCUUUACCUUUACUAUAUAUAUAGAGUUGAACACAGCUAAACAACUAAACAACAACAACAAACCCAACAUCAUCAUCAUCAUAUACCUAACUUCAUAUUCAUCACCCAAAGCAGUUCUUCAGGAAUCCACAAGAUGAGAGUUUCCUUAUAUCCCUACUUAUGUUAUAAUGGUAGUAACUCUUUUCUGCCUUGGUCAGACCACAGGUGGAAUACUGUGUUCAAUUCUGGGCACCACCGUUUAUGAAGGAUGUUGACAAGCUGGAACAUGUGCAGAGGAGGGCAACCAAGAUGAUCAAGGGUCUGGAAGCCAAGCCUUAUGAAGAACUGUUGAGGGAGCUGGGUAUGUUUAACCUGGAUAAGAGGAGACUGAGAUGAGAUAUGAUAGCUACCUUCAACUAUCUAAAGGGCUGUCACAUGGAAGAGGGAGCAAACUUGUUUUCUCUUGCUCCAGAGGGUAGGACCUGGACCAAUGGAUUCAUGUUACAAUAAAGGAGAUUAUGAGUAAAGAUCAGGAAGAACUUUCUGACGGUAAGAGCUGUUCAGCAGUAGGACAGUCUCUCUCAGAAGGUUGUGGGCUCUCCUUCCUUGGAGGUUUUUUAAGCAGAGGUUGGAUGGCCAUCUGUCAUGGAUGCUUUAGCUGAGAUUCCUGCAUUGCAGGAACUAGAUGAUCCUCUAGAUGACAGGGACUAGAUGACCCUCAGGGUCUCUUCCAACUUUACAAUUCUAUGAUUCUAUGGCACAAACAAAUGCAUUAAUUAGUCUUUUAAGGCACCAAAGGGACGUUCUGCCAUUUUUACUGAUGGAUGCUGGCUUUUACCUUCACAAUCAAGGUUUCUUGUGGGAUCUCCAUUACAGUGUCUUGUGGCUUCAACUUGAGCAAUAUGUGUUUGUUUUCUGUUUGCUCAUUUACCUACACAGCCAUGCAUACUUCUGUUCCUUUACUUUCCACCUAAUCUCAAACAUGGAGAUUAAUCUCUGCCAGCCCAGUCCCAGCCAUGUUUCAUAUUAAGAAGUACAGCUCAUUGAUUUCAAUGGGUUGCCCAUGCGAACACGAAUGCCCAAGAUUUUAACCUGAGUCAUAAAAAUGGGUACCUGAAAUGUGUGACCUUGGGAACUAGCAGCACCUGGAAGCCGAUAAGAGAAAGUAUUUUUGCAUGAAUUAAGUGCAAACUAAGAGACAACUGAUUGCAUUACAAUUGAAUGUCUAGAAACUGCUGCACUACAAAACCCUAAUCCAUUUACCAACAUGAAACAUGACUCAUUCAAGGUUUGCGGUAUAUUAUCUGAGCAACUGCUGUACUGUAUGGCUUCUUGAUGCAUGUACAGUGGUACCUCAGGUUACAUACGCUUCAGGUUACAUACGCUUCAGGUUACAGACUCCGCUAACCCAGAAAUAGUGCUUCAGGUUAAGAACUUUGCUUCAGGAUGAGAACAGAAAUUGGGCUCUGGCGGCAUGGCAGCAGCAGGAGGCCCCAUAGGCUAAAGUGGUGUUUCAGGUUAAGAACAGUUUCAGGUUAAGUACGGACCUCCGGAACGAAUUAAGUACUUAACCGCAGGUACCACUGUACCUGUGAGGCCAGAGGUGGUUUGCUAGAUGAAACCAUUGCCGACUACUUUAGGUGAAAGAGAGCAAAGGGGAAUCUCCACCCUUACUUUAGGCAGCAGUGGAGGUGCCCCAUAUAUUGUAGCAAUAUUUUGUGCCCCAUAUAUUGUAGUGAUACAGUGGCCAGCAACUGUUUUGUCUAGGGAACUGGCCCAAGUUGGGUAAGCGUGCAUAGCUUUGGGAUGUUAUUUGCUCGUACCAUUAGUACUAAUGGCAGCAUUGUGGUGGGAGACCCCACUCCAAGCAACCCACAUUCCUUGUAAGAUUUGAAAUUAGAAAUGACCCAUGCAUGUGUGGUUGGGUUGUGGUGGCGCCCCCCCUCAUUGCUACACCCCCAUCUCAUGUGAAAAUGGCUCGCCCUUAAGUAACAUGAUGCAUGUCGCAGUCAAGAAGUCAGAGGUUGGAUGAGAAACUCAACAGGACAAACUGAGAACAGGGAUGUAUUUUGCACAGAUAUGAGGAUACGUUAUAUAGGCUUUAAGUGCUAUUUUAUUACACAGUCAAAAUAUAGAUGGCACUGGAAGAUGCAGGCUGAAGAGGAGGACUGAGUCUAUUAAUUUAGGUCUGUUAAUUGAGGCAGAGCUAGAGACUCUUGUCCUGACAAAUUUGUUAGGCUUUUCCCCCCAAGUUUUUCUAAAUAAGCACAACCAUAAUAAAGUGCAAUUGGUAAGGAGUGAUAGGGUGCAGCUAAGCAUUAAGCUAGCAAGCUACAGUGAAACUAACCAAAGGCCAAAGAGGGAAAACUUAAAAGGGUUAAGGGAAAUAAGCUCACCAAUAACGCCCUCUAAAGUAUAUUGCAAUUAUUACAACUAACAUUGGUGUAAGUUAAUGCAAAAUUAAUAGGUUUCUAAAAACCCUCGCCUUAACAAUUCGUAGCCAACUCUUCUGAUCCUCCUCCAAAUAGUCAAGAGGAAAUAAAAUAUCAGAGAGUUCAUCACUUCAAUUUCCCCAAGACCCUUGCAGUUAUUCUUCUUUGUGAUUGAGUCUUUUAACUUUUUCAUGACUUCAAUCUUAAAAAAAUAGACUUUAAUUAAAUUCAAGACUAUUAUUCCCCUUUAGGGGAGGUGGGAAAAACAAAUGCAACUCAGAUGCGGGACCUCUGAGCAUAACACUAUCCCUCUCUUUACAGUUCAUUUUGGCAUUUUUAUAUAUUGCCUGCUAAUAAAAUGUAAUGAUUUUCAUCUUUUACUUUGACAUCUGAGACUCUAUCUUUUAUCUGUUGUUUACAGUGUUUCAGCCCAUAAAUAAAUCAUAUGACAAAAUAAAUUACUUAAUCUUGUGUUUUAUUUGGAAACACAUUAAAGCUUAGCUCUGUAGGAAAAAAUCACUUUACACCUUAGAAUUGCUUAUAUACUUUAUGAUUUUUGUGUCACGUUCAAAGAGCAUCAAGGUGUCAUAUCAAUAACAAGUGUUCACAAGAGCCACAUUUUAAACCUUGAGAUUUUUCUGGUGCUGUUUGAUAGGAAUGUACUCAUAUGAAAGUAUAUCUGUCUUUGGCAAAGAGCAUUUUCAGUUAUUUGACUUUAAAACAAAAAACCAGCACCUUAUGGUCUUAUGGAAACUAUCCCAAUUCUUAGAAUGAUCUUUUUAACAGUUAUGCAGGUUUAUUUGUCCACACUAUUGUAAUAUUUAUUGUCCUGUUGUGGGAUCUUUCUAACAUUUAUUUAUCCCACACAUUCCUAGCUUAUUUAAAAUAAAAUAUGAAAGCGCUGGAUAGCCAGCUGCCCUUAGGCAAAGUUUCAAUCUGCUUGGCCAUUUUUGUGACUCCUCCUGGAUAUUUUCUAGUAAAUAGAUACAUACAUUUCACACUAAGGAUUGAAUAAUUCUUUUUCUCUGUAGGUAAGUCAAAAAAAGUUCCCAUGCUUUGUGGGUUUCUUAAGUAUUUGCUUCAGUGAUGAAACCUAGGGGAAAACUAGAAAUAGAUUUGGUAGGUAAACUGUCUUUCCCCUGCAGCUUUUGCUUCUGAGAUGCGUCUAGUCCUAGAGAAUGUACCUCUUUUCUUAGGUUAAUUGCUGAAAUAUGAUGUGCUAUGGCUGCAUUCUUAGUCAUUUCCAGAUUCUAUUCCAGGACAUUUGGGAUAGAGCCCAAGAGCUUAGCAUGUUUUCCUUUUUUCAUGGUAAAAUUGUGCAAAUAUGCAUUAGAGUGUGAAAACAAACAGUCUAAUACAUUUUUGCAAAGCUCUUUAUGUUUACUGUUUAUUGCAGAUACCAGAUCCUAAUUAAAAAUGCGCUAACAAAAGCCAAGAUACAAAGAACAAAGAUAUAAUGAAGCUUCAUUUUUUAGAAAUGUGAUUAAUCCCAGGGGACUUUCUACCCUGCGUCAACUCCUGUAAAAUUAAAGUUCAUAUGACGAUGGAGAGGAUGUAACAUUAAAUAUUAUGAUGGGCCUCACCUAACUAUGUUAAAAAUGGAUCGUGCCAUGGUUAUAUUUUUGUUUUGUGGAUUAAGCUCCUUUCCAAAUAGCAUAGCUGCAUCCAGCCCUGCUCUUCAGCAUUAGUUUAUGGUGGCUUGCAACCUUUCCUGGUUUUUGUUUCUUUGCUUUAAAAAUGAAAUGAAAUAAAGCACCUUCUGUACUUUUACUAAUUUAAAAAGGGAAAUGAUCAAAUUUGUAACCUAUUGUAUUGGUUGGAAUAUUUUUUUAAAAAAAUAACUGAAGCCAAAUUAAUAUCAAAAAGUAGAAUAUAAACCAGAAUUUUUGCAGGUUAGGUAGCAAAUACUUUUUGUACAAAUAAAGAUUGAUAUUUCUGUUAUCUAUGGGAAGGCUGAGACAUGGGGUGGUAUUCACCUAAGUUUUAGUCAGAGCAGACCCACUGAAAUGAAUGGAUCUAACUUAGUCACGAGCCUAUAGAUCUGUAAAUAUACAAUGAGUGUAUAUGAAAACAUACAACUUCAAUCACACCACAAAAUACAAAUAUUCAAGAUCUUUUCUCAUUUGUCCAGCUGGCACCUAUUUCCCUGCCCCUCCAAAGUUCUUAAUCUUUGAGUUACUUAGAAAUAUAAGGCAGGAAAAAUAUAAUACCUCGGGACAAAUACCUUGCUGUGUUCCCUGUGUCCCACUGUACUCUUGGUACACAGAAUUUUAUUUGCCAUAUGCCCAAAACCUAUAUGACAGUGUGCACUGUCCCUAAAGUCAGCGCCCCAGCUGCUCAUCUGAUAUGCCAUACAAUUAAUAACUUUCUUUUAGCAAAUUGUAUGGAUAUGACAUCAAACAUCUGUCUAAACUAGUGUAACACUUGAAUUGCAGCAGCAAUCUAUUCCUUCUCUGGCAGCCUUUUAGGAGCGAGCAGAAUAGGGAGAGAGGAAAGGGGUGUCAGAAAAAGAGAAAGAGAAAAUGGGGAGGCCCCACCCACAGUCAGCAUGUCCCCCCCAACAGAUGACCACUAUGGAAAUGUGGACCACGAAAGAAAAAAAAGAUUGCCCACUUGUGAUUUAAUGGAUUAUUCUCUGUAUUCCUGCUUUAAGUACAGGAAUGGUAGCAGAUAACUGCUUAGUGUGUCUGAAACCAGGAAGAAAAACAUGUCAGAAUAAUUCAGUGCACUGUAUUAGUGACUUUUAUAGAGCUUCACAUGGAAAUAUGCUAACAAUUUUGUUUGGACAGGAUGGAAUGUUAACAGGUAUGUGUUUUUGCUUUCCUCUGUCUUUGACUGGGAUGGACAGGGAAAAAGAAAACUGAAAAUGUAGAAAGAAUAAAUACAGGCAGUUUGAACAAACUUUGUGCUGAAUAUUUAUUUCUAUUUUUUUCUAAUUACAUUACAUUACUACUGCUAAACCAGGCCAGUUCUUCAGCUGGUGGUAUAACAGCUCUGGCCAGUUCAUCCUCCUCUGACUCAGGCUUUUUACCUGUGUUCUCUUCCAGAGUUGUCCCCUACAAUGUGAGACAUGAUGUAUCACUCAAGCUGUGCUUACUUAGUACUAGACUCGCUGAUAUUUGUGGACUGACAUCUUUGUAAAUAUGCAUUGAACUGGGCUGCUUGCUGCCAAGUAUUAGGACAAAAUAGGCAUAACAUAAAAUAUUAUCAGUUUGCCUGCACAAGAUGCAUUCACACUGAAGAAGAAUAAAGAAGAGAAGGGAUAUUUAAAACCUCCCCGAAGUUAAUUUUCUAUCUCCAUUCGCUCAACACAGACAUCCGUGCCCUUGUGCUUGAUAUUUGUCCCUCUGAUCCUAUGACAUCCCUAUCCUCCUGUUUCUUCUAAAUGUCCUGUACCACACUGCAGAAGGCUGCAAUCACCUUGUCAGAGCACAUUUUAUACCCCAAAGUCGCUGCCAGUUUUUGCCCUAUACAUCAACUCCUUCCUGAUUCUGGCUGGCAGUUGCUCCUGCUGCACAGCAAUUUCCAGUUAUUUAUUCAGCUUUAACCCUAUUGUAAACAGCCUUGCCAUGAAUGCACGGUAAUUCCAUUGGGGCGAGCCAUUUUGCUGAAAUAACCUGCAAGUGGAAGGAUGUUGGCAGUAGUUAAUAGGGAAAAGACUCCAUGUUGCAUUCAGCCCCCAUCUCUUUAUUGUGGAAGCUUCACCUUUCAUAUUCUCCCAUCUUUUGUUGUGCAUAUUUUUAGUAUUUUCUUUCAGGGUUUUAACAUCACAGCCGUUGGCUUUAUUAUUUUCCCUUCACUGGAUCCUGGACUACCUCUCAGACAUUGUGCAUAUAUCACCAUCUACUUGGGAUUUUGGGUAUAGUAAAUUAAACAGGAUACCAGCAAACCACACUUGAUUUGUGUGAAUAUUAUUUUAAUCUUCCUUUAGGAAAUCAAUGUCCAAGAAGAAUUUGUUCAUGCCUUUCAUAGGCUGCACCCUGUAGUAGGUUGUGUUGGCUAAAUUUAGCUCCUUCAUGGGAAAUAUAUACAGUGGUACCUCUGGUUACGUACUUAUUUGUUCCGGAGGUCUGUUCUUAACCUGAAACUGUUCUUAACCUGAAGCACCACUUUAGCUAAUGGGGUCUACCGCUGCUGCCGCGCUGCCGGAGCACAAUUUCUGUUCUCAACCUGAAGCAAAGUUCUUAACCCGAGGUAAUAUUUCUGGGUUAGCGGAGUCUGUAACCUGAAGUGUCUGUAACCUGAAGCGUAUGUAACCCGAGGUACUACUGUAUACGGUAUUCAUCACUGAAAAUGUUUCUAUAUACAAAUGAGCCACCUUGUUUCAGCCACUUUUAGAGUACAAAGCAAUUGCAGAAGCUUGCCAGUGGUGGUUAGAGAGUUCGGCUAGGCCUGGACAUACUGGUUCAAAUGCUCACUCAUCUUAGGAAGAGGAAUAGUAGGGGGAAGUAGCAGAAAGAACCAUGAAGAAAGAUGACGUGCUCCAUUCUUGCACAGAAAAAAGAAAGGUGCUGAAGCAAGGGGAGAUGGGUAAUGAUGUCAGAAUCUGCUCCAAGCCAGAAGUGUGGGACAAGGCUUGGUUUUAACUGUUUUACUCUCACCAUGUUUCUUAAUAUUGAUUUUGGGGGCAAUGCUUUGAUCAUUGUUUUGAAUUUUAUUUGUUCUAUGUAAGCCACUUUGGGGGCCUUGGUCAAAAAGCGGCAUAGAAAAAUUUACAGAAACUCACCGACAAAUGAAAAAGGCUUGAAAGGCACUCUGCUGCAAUAGCUGUUCAGACCAUUAGGGGGCUUCAGGUCAUGUGGCCAUUAAUUAUGGCUGCAAUCCUGUACUCUGUUACUUGGCGCUGAGCCUCAUUAAACCCAAUGGGGCAUGUGCUGCGAACUACUUUACAGUUUCAUUGUGUCCUGAAUUAAGAAUGUACAGUGUAAAGUAGGUGGCAAAGCAAGGUUUAAUAGUGGUCAGAAUACAGCACCGAAUAUAGGAAGUUGUCAAGAAGAGACUUCAUUUCUCUAUGUGGGAAAUGUCUCCCCUUAGCAGAAUUAGGAGGCCCUUUCCUAUAACUGGGAUUUGUGAUAAGGAUUUCCAGGUGAGAGGCCACAAGUUCAAGAAGACUUCAUCCCUGGCAACUCUGAUUUUCUAAAUUAAUCACUUUGAAAAAGCAAAGUUUUCAACAAGUUAGUUUGUUGAGCCAUGCUGCUAGCUGUCAUGGCCAAUGAUGUAUUCUUGUUAUAAGUAAUCCUUCAGUGAAAGUCAAGCUAAACCCAACUGUACACUCUGUUUUAGAUUGCUUAAGACGCCAUAGUGCCAGUUUUCAUUAUUAUUGAUGCUAAACACUUCAAGAAUAUUUCUUGCUUAUACAAAGGUCUUGAAGAGCUUCAAUGAUUUAUGAAGCAAAUAGGUUUCCUGGAUGUCUGUGAAAUACCACUGAUGGAUUUGGCAAACACAGUAGUAAGCACCCAUUACGCCACCUAGAACACAGCAUCUAACCUGUUUUUUUGUUCCAUUAACAAGUUGUGAAAAAGUCAUGAUGGUGCUUUUAGCUGUAAAACACUUUAGAGUGUAAUCUGUUUUUAGAAGAUUAAUUCAAUCCCAUAUACCGUGGAAAAUGAUAAACAACUUAAAGGAGACAGAGCAUCUAUCAGUAUUCCCCUUUAAAGGAGACUGGAAGCAGAUACUAUGUUACAGCUCAUAAUAAGAUUUCUUUCUUUUCCUUUCUCCUUUUUUUUUUUGCUUUGCAAAAAAUGAAGAGGAAGCCUCCCACCCACCCCCUCCCUGUUAAACAUUGGCCAUACCAGAGUUUCUUCAGUUGUAUUGUGUGUAUUGUAGCCAAUUUGGCCUAGCUUAGUAUUUCUAGAACUGCAAUCAAUCUUUGUGUUUAUUUUGCAUUACAACGGAGCAUUACUAAGAACCACAAGCACAGCAAAGCUGUGUGCCUGGUUUGAAUGGUGAUGAAAUGCAAAAAGCCAGACAGUUUCACAAUCCAAAUCCAACCCCUAGUCUCAGCCUGGAGAUCUACCCCUCACUACUGUAAAGUUCUAGUAAUGAAUCUAAGAUGUUUUUACAACACGUGCCUGCUUUUUGGUGCUCCCCAUUCCUCACAGGGUUCAGCCAGUUGGGAUUGCAAACUUCUUCUUUUUUACCAGGCCCUUCUCAUCUGAUUUUAGCAGCAGCUAGAUUUGCACACCUAGGGCACUGAACGUGCUGAAAUUCCUGCCUCAAAAAAGCUUCAACAGCUCACUGAAGUGAGCAAGGAAUCAGAAUGAAGGUAUGCACUGAAACACACCACAGUUAGGAAGCCUUUGUUGCUCAGGCAGGGCCUCAGCUGAGACACUUUCCUGUCCAGGAAUGCCCAAUGACUAACAUGGGUGGGCAAGUCCAGUCUCAGUACUAUUUUCCUUUUGUCAGGAAAUGAGUUAAGCUGAAGUUCUGAUAACUCACCACAAGGGGCAGCCAUGACCAGAACUGAAGGUUCCUUCCUGGUUCUCCCUCCCGGCACCAGCUGAUUUCUGCAGGUCACAUCAAUGCUGAAGGCCUAAGAGUACCACUACCACCCCAUUCAGCUGGCAAUUCUAGAACCAAAUGUGCCAUCAAUUUGCUGGGUGAAAGGCUUUGUCCUUGUGCAGCAGCCUAUGGAGCUGAUCCACAUACAGAGACUGUUUUCUGAAGGUGAAAGGCUGUAUUAGGUACAAGCUGAACAGCUAGAAUGCCUUGGAAAUAUACUGCUGUACACCGAAAUGCCGGCUCAUUUUUCUUCUUCUCAAUGCACAAACAGUACUUGUCCCAAUGUCUUCCUGAAUUUUUGAUUCCCUAUAUACUCAUAACUCGUCUCCUAAAUUAAAGGAUGCAAAUGCACACAAGGCAAAGUUGGAAGUGCAGGGAAGAAACAGCAGAGGCCAUACAUUCUCUUAAUUGUGUAAGGAAAUAAGAUGACAACAACAAGGCUUGAAGCGCCUUUGUUCUCUGGAAAAUAUUUCCAGUGAUCUAUGCAGGACUUAAUACUUUCAUGUAUAUUUAAUAUUCCAUCAUGAAGCACAGUACUUCAUGGAUACGGAAGCUUACAUGAUUUUCAGACUACAGCAUGCGUGCAUAACUCGAGUCACUCUCCUUGAAUUUACAUGUGAGAUUAAAGUCACUGUACAAAACAGCCUCCCCCCGCCCUCAUGUGCCAUUUUUUGAUCUCUUUUAUAAGUGGAGACCUUACCACAAAUACCCAAAGUAAUUGUCCAGAUAAAACUUGGAAGUUGGGAUUUUUCAGCCUUCGGGACUUCAUUAAUGCAAAGCUGAAGAAAUGUCCCUGCCUCUCUAGAGGUCAGAUUAAUGACACAUUGGUUAGAAAUCCACUGCCCAGUAAUUCUUAUGAGAUAAUUCCAGGGAAUAUGUUCAGCAAUAGACCACUGGGAAGCACUUCAGUCAGUGAGCUCAUAGACAACACUUUGUUGUUUUGUUGUUUAGUCGUUUAGUCGUGUCCGACUCUUUGUGACCCCAUGGACCAGAGCACGCCAGGCACUCCUGUCUUCCACUGCCUCCCGCAGUUUGGUCAGACUCAUGUUUGUAGCUUCGAGAACACUGUCCAACCAUCUCGUCCUCUGUCGUCCCCUUCUUCUUGUGCCCUCAAUCUUUCCCAACAUCAGGGUCUUUUCCAGGGGUCUUCUCUUCUCAUGAGGUGGCCAAAGUAUUGGAGCCUCAGCUUCAUGAUCUGUCCUUCCAGUGAGCACUCAGGGCUGAUUUCCUUAAGAAUGGAUAGGUUUGAUCUUCUUGCAGUCCAUAGGACUCUCAAGAGUCUCCUCCAGCACCAUAAUUCAAAAGCAUCAAUUCUUCGGCGAUCAGCCUUCUUUAUGGUCCAGCUCUCACUUCCAUACAUCACUACUGGGAAAACCAUGGCUUUUACUAUAUGGACCUUUGUUGGCAAGGUGAUGUCUCUGCUUUAGACAACGCUAGUAAUGACCAUUUAGAUGGAACCUAUUUAGAUGGAGGACCACAGUUAGGUCCUAGAUACAGAAUUUAAAGGAUGCAAUUAUGAGCACACAAUUAGCAUUUCCUCACUGCACUUGCCUUUCCUUGCUGUUACGGGUUUGCAUCUCAAAAUAAUCUUUCAAUGUACAAUGAUUAAUAUGAGGUCGGGUUUGUUCUGUUUUGGCUUGUUUCUCAGUGUUCACUUUAUUACACUGUUUUUGCAUAAAAUAAAGAUAAAAAAUAAUGUAAUCUAUACAGCAACUGAAAAUCUAACAAAAAGUAAGUGUAUAAAUUAACACCCUUUUUAUAAAAUAUAAUUUAUUCUACUGUAAAAACAGUCACCCCUUUUAAAAAUAAGGGUGGAACUAAUGGAGUAACCACUAAGGUUACUUGUGCCAUAUGCCUUGAGACAGUGGUUCAAUCUGCCUUCUGAAUAUUUAUCUUGGAUAAGUAUUCAUUUGUUUUGCUAAAUAUAUAUUUAUUCCAAAUAUAGUAGGUGUCUGUCCAAGCCCUUCAAUGCCCCCUUUUUGAGCACAUAUAUGCACACUUGUGCACGAACAUAUGCAUGGUUAACAGCAAAAGAGAAAGAAAAGAAAAGCCAUGUUCAACACUCAUAUGCUAUCCCCUCCUAUCACAGUUUACUUUUCCUUUCCUUUCUUUUUUACCUUUUAGAACUAAUGGUUUAGAACUAAUGCUUUUCGGAAAAUUACAGGGAGAUUUGCGAAAUGAGACUUCUUCAAAAACACAAUGUUAUGCUUCAAAUGAACCGUAGAUCACAAAAAUAAGUAACACGUUUACAAAAAUAAGUGCCAAAGACACACUGAGAUCACUUUACUAAAAGACAGCCAAAAAUACAUUUAAAUUAGUAUUAUUUUUACCUUCUAGUAAAUCAUCAAUGCCUCCUUUGGUGGGGGGAAGGGCAUGAAGUUCAGUUUUGUGGCUCCGAGUAAAAAGAAAAGUUCUUUUGUCUUAAGUCCCCCCAAAUAUAAGCAUGGGAAUUUGUUUAGAAGCAUUGUAAAAUCUCUUUUUUUUUUUUUAAAUCUGAGUGCAGAUAAGAUGUAUAGGAGAUAUUUGCAAUUGCACCUUUGGCUGAAACAUGUAGACUGCAAUCCAGGAAGGCCACAGGUAUUGCAGGACAACAGUCUAUGGACAGGGAAGGAGCUCUGUAUGUUAACAGAACUUCCAUCUGUCAUAGAUAGCAGCAGGAGCCUCUGCAUGCCAGGGCUCUGAGUCAUGGCUACUAAAUAAUUGCCCUUGUUUUGGUAUGGUUCAGUCUGGUACAUAAUGGUGAAAAAAGCUUGCUGAAUCUUUUGAUUGGAGCGUGUUACCCACUCCUCUCUUCUCCUGUGGUCUAGGAGCAGGCUUACAAUAGUAUUCCAAGCUUGUUUUGGGUGAAGGGGCUUGUGGCCUGACUAUUUUGCAGAAUUAUGUGAUAUUACUAUACUACUUUGCCACACAAUCAUCAAAUCGCCACCUCCUGCGGAAUAGCGAACCUCGAAAAUGUCACAGCAGAGAUAGCUGUUUUGGAAUGAAAGCAGACUUACGCCUAAUCUAGCACAGAGAAGACUAGUAUGGUCUUGUUUUGGCCAAACAUUUCUUUACAGCUGAACAGGGCUGCCUUCAGAUAGCACUGCGAGUGGGAGAAUAGAUAAAUGCAGGCAUUAUGGUCUGCACCUGGGUAGCUGCUUAGGUGCAGGUUCUAGCUGGGCAGCAUAAUAGUGUGGGGCAGCAGUGCAGCCCACAUGCUUGUUCUCUGAAAAAAAUAUAUAUAGUUGGAAUGACAAGCAAAAGAAGGUCAUUAAAGGUUCUGUAAACACAAGCUAUAAGGAAUUUAUACACCGGAUUUAUCCGCCACGAGAGAUAGUUGCCUGGAGAAUUCUGAACAGCCCUUCUCGUAUAGCAGCCUUUCUGAAAUACGUUUUUCAGCCUGUCCUCUCCACCUAAGGGGGCUUUUAGGUCACUGACCCCUGUUUGCCCUUAUGGUGGACCAGACAGUCCAGUAGGCCAGAUCUUUACCUUUCCAACCCAGGUGGGCCAACUUUGACAGGCGGGAAGAACCACCCACCUGUCAAUCAUCUUACAUCAUGUUGUUGCCAGCUGAUUCAUUGGUGGGUUGUCCUGCUCACCUGUCAAAAUAGCCCAUCAGCCCAAUAGCUGGCCAUCAGGGUGUGGACAGAGAAAUGCUGUGAAAGCAGGAUUGAACUCUCUGUGCAUCAGCUGUUUGUGCCGGGGAGUGUGCUGGGACCAUCAAGCUUUUACACCUGACUUGCUUAAGAUGCUACUUAAGUAUUCUUGUCUUCUUUUAACAUUUUUGUAAAGAAUAUUCUUUGCCUUUUUUGGCAGGAAGACAGAUGUGUUUGGUUAUUGAUACCAUUGAAAGGUUUGGAAUUUUAUCCCUGUAUUGUUUGUAUUUGUGUUACUUUGUAAUUGCAUUAUUGCAUUUGUGUGUGUUGAUUCUUGGGAGCUGCCUUGGGAGCCUUUCUGGCUGAAAGAUGGCAUAUAAGUAAACAGUAACAUAACAACCUAACCUAACCUAACACAACAUGUGUGGAAAGGCCCCCGAUGUACUCAGAUGACACCACAACUCAUGGACAUCAUAGAGAUUAGACUGUGAAAAGUCAUGGAAUGAAUUAGAGGAAGAAGUGGAAAUAAACCGAGGUAUAACUAGUAUACCUGAAUAAAGAUAAUAACUAGUAUACCUGAAUAAAAGUAUAAGAUAUGACCUGGGUAUUGCAACAAAAUACCUAGAAGAUGUGGUUUUUUUGUUUGUUUUUUAGGAUCACUUGUAAAAUUAACUAUAGUAAGGUGGUAAAAUAUUGAUUGUUUACCACAACAGGUGUUUUCACUUGUUUUCCAUAAUGCAAUAACGAAUCUAUCACUUGGUUUUAUUUGGGUGCUUUCACGCAUUACAAAGUCCAACCAAUAGGAUUGUUUUCUGAGUUGUACAAGCAGUUAAGAUGAGACAAUCAUGAUGCUCAGUAGAUGUACAAUAUGCAUUCAGUGUUUAUUCAGGAAAUUUUCAGACAGGGAACUGCCAUCAGCAUAUUACCAGAAUGUACCACUGGGACCUGAUGAUUGAUUCUGCACAUCAUAAAAAUAGCUAAGGAGAUUUGCAUUUGUGGCUGAAUUAUAUUGUAUAAAGGCAAGGUUGCUAAUGCAUACAUUAUCAUGGCAAAGGCAUAAUUUUGUUUACAUCGACCCUUCAGAUGGUUGAGUUUGGAAUUGAAAUAGGCCGCCCAAAAAUUAAAGUAUUGGCUUUUGAAUGGUCAGGUGACACCUUAGAUCAGGGUUGGGGAACCUAUGGUCAUAAAAACAUUGUUGGACUAUAUAGCAUCCUUUGUUCCUGACCAUUGCACAUGCUGGCUGGGGCUGAUGGGAGCUAAAGUCAAACAACAUCUGGAGGACAUCCAGCUUCCUAUUUCUCUUCUAGGCACACAGAACAAUGUACAAAAACCAGCCCCAUACUUCCUAAGAAAAAUCUCUGAGCUUAUAGAAUGCUGAUGGCUGGUGUCUCUCUCUUUCCAUAGGCAAGAAAGGAUCUAAAGAAAGCAGAUGUCAGACGAACUGUAGUGGGUUUCACAGAAUCCCUCUCAUCUAGUUAAACCACUCAUGAAGGAGUUGCAGGGUCAUGCCAACUACCCUCUACCCCGAUGAGCAUGCAAUUUUAGUGGGCAACUCUGUGCAUGAAGAUAACAUUGCCUUUGGAGCAGCUCAGGGUACCUUCAGAAGGCCAUGGAAUAUCAUCACUGGGUGUGGAGCUACUCCCCAAAUGUGUGAUUUCAAUGUCUGAAGACUUGAGGUUUUCACGAAGUCAUGAACAUUGAAAUGAUUGGCAUUACCAAUAAAGUCUAUGGGUGC